rnacentral:rRNA from 1 species
UACAGAGGGUGCAAGCGUUAAUCGGAAUUACUGGGCGUAAAGCGUGCGUAGACGGUUAUGUAAGUCAGGUGUGAAAGCCCCGGGCUCAACCUGGGAAUGGCAUUUGAGACUGCAUAGCUAGGGUGCGGAAGAGGGAAGCGGAAUUUCCGGUGUAGCGGUGAAAUGCGUAGAGUAUCGAGAGGAACACCUGCGGCGAAGGCGGGUUGCCUGGGCUGAUGACUGACGCUGAGGCGCGAAAGCCAGGGGAGCGAACGGGA